rnacentral:lncRNA from 1 species
UUAAUUACAGGCCUGUUAUCUUCAAACUUGGGCUUUGGCCCCUCCCGAAUCCAGAUUCCAAGAAGCAAUCCGAAAUCUCCAAGAAAUAGAAAUCAAAAUCGGUUCUUCCCCAAUUUCGUUCGCUGAAUCGCUGCUGCCUGCUGUCGUUGUUGGCCUGUUGAGUCACUUGCUUCAAUUGCUUGGUCUCACACUCUCACUCUCGCAAUCGCCCAUCACUAAGCGCCAUUCACCAAAAAUCAGGUAUGGAAUCCCGAAUCUUGUUCUUUCUUUCCAGUUCACUUGUUGCUGCCUGUUGUGCUACACUGUUGGUUGUUGCUGCUGUUUGCGAGUUUCUCCUAAGUUCUGACUCCUUUUUUCUCUCGGUCCAAACUCCAAAUUAGGGGUUAGAGUUUCUCCUGUCAAUUUGUGAGUUUCUCUUAAGGCCCCUGAAUGAAAAGUUAUAUGAACAAACUUUGAUAUUCUAUUGUGACAAUUGUAAGUUGCGUGGUGAUAUUUCGACUGUGCAAAACCUGCUGACCUGUUGAAGCCAGAUUGUAAGAUAUCUAUGUUCUUGUGGAGUUGUUUCAGGUGUUAUAUUCCUUUAAACAAAGUUUUGAUCUUGCUAAUGUAGAGUUUGGAUCGCAAGUCACUUAAUUAGGGCUUAAUUUAUUUGCAAAUAAGUUAUAUGAAGUUUUUGUUUUGAGCUACAAAAUUGAUAGGAGAUUUCUUUGUUGAUUUAACACCUACAACUGUUCACAUAAAUCACCUUUGACACAUAAUCAAGCCUUCACUGAUAUGCACACAGCUGUAGUUUAAGCAGCUCAUAAGAUUCCCACAAAGGUAAAACUUCUGCCUAGCAGAAUUCUCCUUGCACAAAGUGAUAAUAUCUACCUUAAGAUGUGAUUAGAGUUCAUGGGUUCAUCACUUUUAUAGCCUCUUCAUUUAGAUGUUGGAAUAGCAAGUAUGUGAGAAACCAACCUCCUGGUGCUCUAAAAUGACUAAAAUCAGAGAAACACGGGAAAAAGAGAAACAGGGGAAACCUUUGGGGCAAAUUUUCUACUGUGUUUAUUUGAGAUUCUCAAUCUAAUCUGAAUGGGAACAAAAAUACAUAAAACAAAGGCAAUUCCUAGAGAUUAGCAACGGACUCUCGGCCCCCCCUAAAUAAUUGUUCAAGCUCCGCCACCGGGCAUCACGUCAUUUUUGUCGCACUUUAGCCAAAACUUGCCAUGUGUUAGGCACAAGUUGUUGCACUUUUCAUUCUAAAUAUAUAUUUUCUUUAAUUAAUUUAGAAAAAAAUAUUGCAAACAUAUUAUUUUUUAAAAAAACUUAAUUUCCAUUAAAAAAAACAUAGAAAUUAAAAUUAAAAAAAAAGCAUCACCCUAGAAAUUCAAAAAAAAAAACAUAAAAAUUCAAAAAAAAAAACAUUGAAAUUAAAAAUAUCACAAGAACACUAGAAAUUCAGAAACAUCACACUAGAAAUUCAAACACACAAUCCAUUAAAAAUUAGAAGACAAAGACUUCAAAUUUGACGCAAUUUGGGGCUCUGCCUCACAAUUUGCCAAAACCCAACAAGCUUGAAAUUUUUGUCACUUUCAACACGGUAAGCCUCAAGAGAAUUCUCUAGCAAAGUAUUUUCAUUUUCACCAUUUAUGGCAUCAUGCAUCACCUUAUGAAACAUAAUGGUAAACUGAGUUGCGAGUGCGUGUGCAUUUCUCCAUUUGGCGUAGAGUAGAUAUUUUGUUCAAGGCUGAAGGGCUUGGCGGUUGUAUAUGUCGGCAACUCUACUCCAAAAAGUAGUUGAAGGAUAGUCAUUGUGGUGUGGAUCUUCGGCUACAUCAAUCUAUGAACUAGCGAGUAAGAUCUCUUCUUCGGUCGACCAAACAAUAGCCGUUUUUUGUGAUGAGGUGUAGAAAAUGAUGGAAAAAUAAGAAAGUUAAGAGAAUAGAAUUAAGGAGAUUUGAAUGGUGAUGAAUGAAUAAGGAUGGAGGUAUUUAUAGUUGAAAACUGAGGGUUUAAAAGUGAAAUUUUGAAAGAAAAAAAAACGGUUAUAUUUUUGAAACUGUGUAUUUUUUGGAAAGAAAGUAAUUUUUGAAAAAAAAAGUUUAAUUAAUAUAUGGAUUAAAAGAAAAAAAUAUCUUUCAUCGGUUAACCCUCGCCGAGUUGUCGAUCCGAGCUCGACAUGCCGAGGCCUAGGCCUGGUUUUCGCCAAGUUCACCGAGUUUGUAGUCGAGUCCACAUCUACUAUCCUGAUAUACGAAUAACCAAAUGGUACAGUUAAAACUAAUGCAAAAUUUACAAAUUACUAAUGUUUUAGAUAAGUUUGAAUUCUCCUUUUUAAUUGAUAGUUGUGAAAUAGAUAUGAGUGGACGAAAAUUACAGGAAGGUCCUAUAAGUUUUCGUCCAAGGCUUCUAGAUGAAUAGUCCAUGGGCUACUUAGGCCUUAAGCAUGAAAUUAGGGUUUCCAACUACAAACCCUAGCUUUAGGACUAAGCAACCUCAAGUAUAAAAGGAACCUAACCCUUGGGAUAUUCGGUCAUCUGCUCUUUACCCUAGCAUAGCCGAAACUUUGGUUUUAUCUCCUUAUUUCUCCUCUAAUCCUCUUGCAAAGAGUGUUUGUAAGUCAUUAUAGGUGUCACAUUUAAGGCACCUGCUUUCAAGAGUUCAAGAUCUAUAAGGAUUAAUUUUUAUUACUACAUAACAAUUGAGGUAUGUAUCUAAACCCUAUUAUUAGGUUAAUUUCGAUUUUAUAGAUGCAUAUUAGUUUAAAACCAAAAAAGAUUUGUUGUUUUCUCACAUUUUCGAUAAAACCCUCUCAUAAAAGUAUUUUAACAAUACUUUGGCUGAUAUUAGUAGAUGCUACUCGAACCACGCUUUUUGUAUACAUAUCGGCAUUUCGUAUAGAGGUUAUUAUGUCAGCAGUAGUAUCACUACCCAUGAUGAAUUAAAAUUAUUGGUGCCUCCAAAUUUGGAUAUAAUCAACAUGUUUUUCUUUUACGUAUUUGUUUAUGAAUAUUAAUUUUGAAAGGUAUAUACGUGAGACAAAAUCUACUAAAUGAAUCUUAAUAUAUUUCUUUUAAAUACUCUGCUAUAGCCAUAUCGUGCUCUGAGUUUCUCUUUUGUAUUCAAGUUUGCAUGUUUAACUAGUAAAAACCUAGAUCCAAAGCAUUAGGGUUGCAUGAACACAUAGGAUUUGUAGUUAUGCUCAAAACCCAUCAAAUUUUCAUAUUUGUUCUGAUUUGUAGGGGCUAAGAUAAAGUGAGAAGGUGGAACACAGAAGAAUGAACCUAAUCAUGAGGAAUAGACGAUCUUCUCCUGUUACCCAAAUUGGAGUUUAUAUUAGUGCUUAGUAGUGGUGUUUGUUUAGAGUUAAUAAAUUG